CCAGGGGUUACACCCGCAGCAAAGCAAGGAACAGAUGCCCAAGUUGCAAAGGACAAGAAACCAGAAACUCCUGCUACUGUGAGUGAUGCAAAAGCCCCUCCCCAACCUGUAAGUGAUAAGCCUGGAGACCAGAAGUCCACUCCAGCCCCAUCUCAGCCUCAACCAGAGAGUAAAGCUCAAGCUCCACAACCCGCAACAGCAGUCACUCCCCAGGCUCCUG